CUGCGGCAGGGAUGCACGGCCAAAAGGAUAAAAACGAGAAACACAGCUACUUUUUUAACAUUAUCAAAGACUUGGAUAGCAACAGGUGU